GGGGGCGUUCUGGUUUCGACGGGAAUGCUUAGGUUUCAGGUCGCGCGCCGUGGUGGUCACCAACCACGUAAAUACUAGUGGCACGCUUAUAAUCGCCAACGAUUAUAAUUACGCUGUCGCCGCUUAAUUAGCGGCCAGCCGUCUCCCCCGUAAGUUCCUGCGGGACGGGUGGAGGCGUAGAUUAGCGGGAUAGCCAAGAAGAGUGGCCCACCGGCUUCAAGGCGAAACAAAGGAGGGCUGGCGCCCGCCGAGCCUGUUUCUGGGCAACCGGCGGGGGCGAGACUUUAAUCAGAAACUAUGCGCGUAGAAGCUUGGCGCCGAGAUUUUCGGACAGGGGUUCGACUCCCCUCGCCUCCACUA
rnacentral:sRNA from 1 species